UAAAACUUUGAACUUUUGGUGCUAUUUGUUGAGCAAUCUUCUUCAUUUAGGUGUUGGUUGGUUCCAAGGAUGCUGUGAAACUCACUUUUGGGCGGUGCUAAUUCUGAAAGAUCAAAGGGAAUUUCUGCGUCUCCGUCAAUGCUUCCUAAGUGUACUCCAAUAUUGACAUCCCAGUUGUUGUAGAAUUGCGAGAAUGAAUUUCAUGGGGAACAAGAACGAGUUACUUUUCACGGGGAACUGGAAAUCUUAGUGAUGAUUGAAGUUUCGGUAGAUCUCAAGUUGUCAACACUAUAACUUCCAAUUUAAGCUCCAUCUGUGUUAAGAUUAAGUUCUUAAGAUUCAAAGUGAUUCAGGGGUUGUCAUUGGACGAAAAUCUUGAGAUAUAUAUGAAGCAGCCGCCAUGAAUUAUGUAGGUAUGAAAAAAUUAUUGCUUCUAUUUUAUGUAAGAUUUCGACAUUUUUUAGAACUUCGCUUUGUCUCCAAUGUAUUUUUGAUGCAAGAAGGUAAAUAAUAUGUCAAUGUUGAUGGUUUUUUGAACAGUACAAUCUAAUGCCAAGGUAAGGAUUG